UACGUAGGGUGCAAGCGUUAAUCGGAAUUACUGGGCGUAAAGCGUGCGCAGGCGGUUUUGCAAGACAGAUGUGAAAUCCCCGGGCUCAACCUGGGAACUGCAUUUGUGACUGCAUGGCUAGAGUGCGGCAGAGGGGGAUGGAAUUCCGCGUGUAGCAGUGAAAUGCGUAGAUAUGCGGAGGAACACCGAUGGCGAAGGCAAUCCCCUGGGCCUGCACUGACGCUCAUGCACGAAAGCGUGGGGAGCAAACAGG
rnacentral:rRNA from 1 species